rnacentral:rRNA from 1 species
GGCGGCCCGGCCUAACACAUGCAAGUCGAGCGGUAACAGGAGAAAGCUUGCUUUCUUGCUGACGAGCGGCGGACGGGUUAGUAAUGUAUUGGGGAUCUGCCCGAUAGAGGGGGAUAACUACUGGAAACGGUGGCUAAUACCGCAUAAUGUCUACGGACCAAAGCAGGGGCUCUCGGACCUUGCACUAUCGGAUGAACCCAUAUGGAUUAGCUAGUAGGGGGGGAAAAGGCUCACCUAGGCGACGAUCUCUAGCUGGUCUGAGAGGAUGAUCAGCCCACACUGGGGCUGAGACACGGCCCAGACUCUACGGGAGGCAGCAGUGGGGAAUAUUGCACAAUGGGCGCAAGCCUGAUGCAGCCAUGCCGCGUGUAUGAAGAAGGCCUUAGGGGUUGUAAAGUACUUUCGGCGGGGAGGAAGGUGAUAAGGUUAAUACCCUUGUCAAUUGACGUUACCCGCAGAAGAAGCACCGGCUAACUCCGUGCCAGCAUCCGCGGUAAUACGGAGGCUGCAGGCGUUAAUCGGAAUUACUGGGCGUAAAGCGCACGCAGGCGGUCAAUUAAGUCAGAUGUGAAAACCCCGAGCUUAACUUGGGAAUUGCAUCUGAAACUGGUUGGCUAGAGUCUUGUAGAGGGGGGUAGAAUUCCAUGUGUAGCGGUGAAAUGCGUAGACAUGUGGAGGAAUACCGGUGGCCGAAGGCGGCCCCCUGGACAAAGACUGACGCUCAGGUGCGAAAGCGUGGGGAGCAGAACAGGAUAGAUAC